ensembl:lncRNA
ACUCCUGACCUUGUGAUUCGCCCACCUCAGCCUCCCAAAGUGCUGGGAUUAUAGGUGUGAGCCACCACGACUGGCCUUAUACCAUGUUUUCUUAAUGUCAGCACAACUGGCAUUUGGGCUGGAUGAUGCUGUGCUUUGUGGGGGCUGCCCUGUGCCCUGCAGGGUGCUUGGUGCCCCCCCUCCCCCAGCCUCCACCCACUGGAUACCAGUAGCAUCUGCCCCUCCACUGUGACGACCAAAACUGUCUCCAGAUGCACUAGAUGCUCCCUUGGGAACAAAAGCCCUGGGUGAGAACAAUUGACCUAAAUGGAUUUCAUCUCUGUAGGUGGGAUGCCAGGAAGUGUGAUUAAGCAAAAGCCUGGUCUCCAGGAUGGGGCCAGCUCGUCCGAGCCGCAGGGAUGGACACAUCAUGCUCUCUUCAACUCAACCAGUGGGAGGAUCUGAGAGACCAGGGAAGAGGGGCGUGUCGGAGCCAGAAGUGGACUUACCCGGGCACCUUCCUGCACGAGACCAGGGAAGAGGGGCGUGUCCGAGCCGGGAACUGCACUCACCUGGGCACCUUCCUGCACGAGACCAGGGAAGAGGGGCGUGUCCGAGCCGGGAACUGCACUCACCCGGGCACCUUCCUGCCCUCCUCCUGACGCCCUCAGAAUGAGGCUCUCCCUGUCCCCAUCCCCACCCUCCCGUGAGGUGGGGGCCGAUCCUCUCCACUUGUCUGAGGAGCAUGAGGUUCUAUCUCACUUGGGCAACUACAACAAAGUACCUACGGCUCGGGGGCUUAAACAACAGAAAUUUAUUUCUCACAGUUCUGGAAGCCAGAGGUCAAGAUCCAGGUGCGGGCAGACUCGGUUCCUGUGAGCGCCGGCUUCCUGGCUUGCUGACGAUGCCUUCCCAUGUCCCCACGUGGCACGAGCAGAGAACAGGACCCAGCGCUCGUGUCUCUUCCCCUGAGGGGGCUGAGGCAGAGCCUGCUGGGUGCCGAGGGUGGUGCCCUCGUGUUUGCUGGUGAGGUGGGGCAGCAGGCCGCCUGCAGAGCCUCAGGACUGGCCAGACUCCAGCUUUGUGCAGCCCCUGCUGUGCUGCUUGGAGAACCCAGCCUUUCUGAACCAUCCACCUGGUGUGGCGUUAGGUGACUUUGUUCCGGAUGCGGCGUGGGGAGGGCUGUGACAGCCCAUGGGCCUUGCCAAGGCUGGGCGGCCCUGCCCAAAGCCUACUGGACAACUGGCCAAGCAAGGCCCUGCCCUGAACCACACAAGCCCCAGGCCAGUGACUGAGGCCACAUCUGGCUGGAGGCUCCAGCGACGUCCAGACCCAGGUCAAAGUGGCCAUCUGUCAUCUGACAGGUUGACACGCACCUUCCUUGGGCCGAGUGUCUGUGCCUGCCCCCCUGCCCCGCACUCAGUGUGCAGUAGGCCAGCGGUCCCAGGCAAAGCAGUUUCCUGUCGGGAUGAGGAUCAGCUCCAGAGUAGCACGGGGACGACUGUCACAGCUUCUCCAUGUGGCUGAAGGCGUAGGAGGGGGCGCGUGGGAGGCCACUUGUGACACCUGUGGACCGGAGAUGACAACAUACGGGGUUUGGGGAUGUCGAUGAUGAGGUCCUGGAGCUACAGGUCGAUUUCUGCCCUUUCCGGAUGCCUCCAGAGCCACCGUCGCUCCCCAGCCUGUUCCUGCCGUCACAGACAGGGUCUCUCUUACCGAAGCUGGAGUGCAGUGGUGCCAUCAUGCCAUCACUGCAGCCGGGACCUCCUGGAUUAAAGCGGUUCUCCCACCUCAGCCUCCUGGGCAGUUAGGAUCACAGGCAGGCCACCCAGCCCAGAUGAUUUUCGCAGUUUUGUAGAGACAGGGUUUCUGUGUUGCCCAGGCUGGUCUCAAACUCUUGGACUCAAGCAGUCUGCCCACCUCAGCCUCCCAAAGCUCUGGACUUACAGGCAUAAGUCGCCUGGCCUGGCCUCGGUUUUUCACUUUUGGUCCCACCAUUCCAGUGCCGAGCCUGUGAGACUGGAGUCAUGACCCAGCAGGACUGCACCUGCACCUGAGGGGGAGCAGAGGUUCCGGCGAGAGGACGGUGCUGGAGGUGCUGAAGGGACAGCGCCCGUGUGGAAUCCGCUGCCACCCUGGCCGCCUGGGUGAGGACUGACUGUCUCCCCCGCUGGAGCUGGGCGCCACGUACGUCUGAAUUCUGCUCAUCCUCUCUGGAGUCCUGUCGAUGCAGUCUUGGCAAAGAUUGCUUGAGCCUGAAUGCUUUUCCCAUCUAUUUUUAAAUAAAUGGAAUUCCUCAUGCUUGGAUGAAAUUUACCCCAACUGGGCAUUUUCACGACCCGCUUUGCCUGGGCGCAGAGGAGGGGACAGGGGGUAGGCAUGCGGGUAACCAGAUUGCUGACAAUGUAGCCCGUGGGUGUGCAAGACACAAAAUUAAAAACAUAAAUGAUUAAUGAGCUAGCUCUUUGAAAGGACAUCCUAAACAAAGGAGGAAGCAAAGAUUUUCAAGCCUUGAUGCAGGAUUUGCUUUCCAGAACCUUCCAAGGUGUGGCAAAGCUGCUGAAGCCAACGCCAUUUGUAGACGGGAGAACCACGAGCUGCAGGGUGCAAAGCUCCACCUGCAUCCAGAGCUGGCCCCUCCAGCCUGGCAUCCCCACAGGGGCCACACUCUCAGCCACCCCCAGGAGGCUGUGAAGCCAGCUGAUGGCUCCCCAAGACUUCAGGAGGGUGUUCCCCUUUUUUUCCUGAAAAAUAAGAUGAACAGGUUUGUCUCUCCCAAUGUCCUGGAACACCAGAGCACCUUAAUCCUUGCUCCCAUCUCAGCUCUGGUGCAUCUGCUACAACGGGAACUGGGGAUCACUUUUCCUUCAUCCUCUAUGGAUCAGCCCUAACCUUGGGUCCCACGUGGCUCUGACAUCAAACCUGAGACGACUGCUUCCCCAGGAGGGGCUGCGCACAGCCCGGGCACUGCCGAGGGACACCGGAUAGUCUGAGGCUUCCCCCAACAGGAUGAGGGGCCCCAGCCCUGCCGGGUUUACAUUUUGAGCUACGGCUGCUCCCUCGGGUCUUCUGGUGAGUGGGAAAGACCAGCGGCGCCAGCCAGCGUGUGAGGGGAGAUGCCGCGGUGCCCUCUUCCUUCUGCGCACUGACGUCCUCUCCCUCCCUGAACACACCGGGCUGGUGCCUCCUCCCUUAACAACGGAGAGAAACCGCAGCCGCCUGGGGCAAGCCCACUUCAUGGUGGUUAUCACAGCCCAUGUGUGGGCACAGAGGCAGGGAGGCGGGGGUCCGGAGCGUGCCCCCGAAUGUGCACUAGCUUGUGUAAGUUGCCGUCUAUCCCCAACAUCCUGGAUAAUGUACAGGGU